CGUUCUGUGUGAUAGUUGGUUAACGCGCCUAGUCUAGCGUAUUGGGAGUCGUGGGAUCGAAUCCCACCAGAACGA
rnacentral:tRNA from 1 species